UGUGAACAGGUGAACACAUCCCUUUAUUUCAAAACAGAGCCUUGAGGAAGAUUUGUGUAAAUGAGGCUGACGGAAUCUUAACUCCAUGCACAUCUACUCUGCAACCAGGAAAGAGAGCUAUUUGGAACAGAAUUCAUGGCUGCCCAGAACAAAAAUAUAGGCUUUAUUUAUAAGGUAGAAAAGACAACUGAGAAACAACUAAUGGUAUGUGUUGUAUCCUGUGCACUGUUCUCAGAAAUGUGGUGAAGUCCUUACUCACCAGUGGCUCAAACAAACCCCACUGCCACUUGCUCUGCC